AGUGAACGCUGGCGGCGUGCUUAACACAUGCAAGUCGAACGCGAAAGUGUAGCAAUACAUGAGUAGAGUGGCGAACGGGUGAGUAAAAUGUGGGUAAUCUAGCUUUCAGAGGGGGAUAACCCGGGGAAACCGUGGGCUAAAACCGACGUAACAUAUUGGGGUUUAAGGACCCUAAUAUCAAACAUGGCCUCUAUUUAUAAGCUAUGGCUGAGAGAUGAGCCCACAUCCUAUCACGCUUGUUGGUGGGGUAACGGCCCACCAAGGCGACGACGGGUAGCCGGCCUGAGAGGGUGGUCCGG
rnacentral:rRNA from 1 species